UGAGCCACCCAGGCGCCCCUGUGUGAUUCUUUGUUUAAUAUCUCUCCUGUCCAGGGGUGCCUGGGUGGCUCAGUCAGUUGGGCAUCCGACUUCAGCUCAGGUCAUGAUCUC